UACGAAGGGGACUAGCGUUGUUCGGAAUUACUGGGCGUAAAGCGCACGUAGGCGGCUUUUUAAGUCAGAGGUGAAAUCCCGGGGCUCAACCCCGGAACUGCCUUUGAAACUGGAGAGCUAGAAUCUUGGAGAGGCGAGUGGAAUUCCGAGUGUAGAGGUGAAAUUCGUAGAUAUUCGGAAGAACACCAGUGGCGAAGGCGACUCGCUGGACAAGUAUUGACGCUGAGGUGCGAAAGCGUGGGGAGCAAACAGG
rnacentral:rRNA from 1 species